rnacentral:rRNA from 1 species
CUUACACAUGCAAGUCAAGGCAGAAAGUACCUUCGGGUAUGAUUAAACUGGCGAACGGGUGAGUAACGUGUGGGUAAUUUGCCUUCGAGCGGGGGAUAGGCCCGGGAAACCGGGAUUAAUACCGCAUAAAGUCAUAAUACGAUGGUGUUGUGAUGAAAGGCGGGGACCUUCGGGCCCGCCACUUGAAGAUAAGCCCGCAUCUGAUUAGUUAGUUGGUAGGGUAAUGGCCUACCAAGACCUCGAUCAGUAGCUGUUCUAAGAGGAAGAUCAGCCACAUUGGGACUGAGAUACGGCCCAGACUCCUACGGGAGGCAGCAGUGAGGAAUUUUGCGCAAUGGGGGAGACCCUGACGCAGCAACGCCGCGUGACCGAUUGAAGCUUUUAGGAGUGUAAAGGUCUGUCGUGAAGGAAGAAAAAGUCCGAGAAUAAUAAGUUCGGUAAUUGACGGUACUUCACAAGCAAGCUCCGGCUAACUUCGUGCCAGCAGCCGCGGUAAUACGAGGGGAGCAAGCGUUGUCCGAAAUAACUGGGCGUAAAGGGUACGUAGGCUUUUUUGUAUGUUUUCGGUGAAAUCCACAGGCUCAACUUGUGGCUUGCCGGAAAAACUGCAGAGAUUGAAUCCGGAAGGGGAAAGCGGAAUUCCUGGUGUAGCGGUGAAAUGCGUAGAUAUCAGGAGGAACACCAGUGGCGAAGGCGGCUUUCUGGUCCGGAAUUGACGCUGAUGUACUAAAGCGUGGGUAGCAAACAGGAUUAGAUACCCUGGUAG